GAUGAACGCUUGCUUCGUGCCUAAUACAUGCAAGUCGAGCGAACAGACGAGGAGCUUGCUCCUCUGACGUUAGCGGCGGACGGGUGAGUAACACGUGGAUAACCUACCUAUAAGACUUGGAUAACUUCGGGAAACCGGAGCUAAUACCGGAUAAUAUAUUGAACCGCAUGGUUCAAUAGUGAAAGACGGUUUUGCUGUCCCUUAUAGAUGGAUCCGCGCCGCAUUAGCUAGUUGGUAAGGUAACGGCUUACCAAGGCAACGAUGCGUAGCCGACCUGAGAGGGUGAUCGGCCACACUGGAACUGAGACACGGUCCAGACUCCUACGGGAGGCAGCAGUAGGGAAUCUUCCGCAAUGGGCGAAAGCCUGACGGAGCAACGCCGCGUGAGUGAUGAAGGUCUUCGGAUCGUAAAACUCUGUUAUUAGGGAAGAACAAAUGUGUAAGUAACUAUGCUCGUCUUGACGGUACCUAAUCAGAAAGCCACGGCUAACUACGUG
rnacentral:rRNA from 1 species